GACGAAACAAAUCAACCAAGCUCGAGUCAAGACAAUGCCAAUGAGGACUCUCAAGUACGCCCGAGAGCAACAUCAGAAGAAAAAAUACCAUGGCAUACGACGUCAGCUGGCAGCAGUGACACAGCACAUCCGCGUACAAGCAGCGCAGCACAUCUGCAGCAGAGCGCGGUUUCCGAUGACUGGAUUUACUUGCUGAACGAUUGGGUGGAGAAAAACUUUGACAACCUUCAACCUACGUGGUAUGUAUCAGAUGACCUUCAGUCACAAUUACCACAUAUGAAAUCUGUUUACCAAUUAUUUACCAAGUCCACGCGUUGCAUUUAAACUCUAACAUCAUGCAACAAGCGCAAAAGCUACG
rnacentral:lncRNA from 1 species